rnacentral:lncRNA from 1 species
CGGUUCUUCCGUGUGCGUCCCGGCUCCAGGGCGGACGGAGGGGGCUGGAGAGUCGGCGGAGAGGGUCCAAGGGGGCGUGAUUUUCACAAAUCUGUGCCCACGCCACAUUGAGGCACAGGAGGAAAGUUUUGAGAAAGGGAGGAAAAGAAUGUGAUGUUCGGGCCCCCUAAACUAGCGGAUCCUCUGCUGGCACGUGUAUACCAGAGCCGAAGUCCAAGUGUGGCAUCCCUCUGUCCUGAUGCUACGCAGGAUCUUCGGUGCGGGAUCUCGGCUUCCCGGUGCAGAGCCAAACCCCUGCACCCCCUUUUAGUUCAUUCUGUUCCCCUGAAAUCAUUCCCUGGUCCCCACCACUGCCUGUCCUCAGCCACCCUCAGGUCCGCGCUGCUGUGGCGUUAGGGGCAGGCACUCAUGCCUGGGGUUGACGUCCCACAGGGCAGAGUGGACAGUGUUCCCUCCACCCUGAGAGGAGGGCCGUCCACUCUGCUGACCGCGCCGCCGAUCCCGUGCGCAAA